rnacentral:lncRNA from 1 species
CCACCCCCUCGGCUUCCGCCGCAGCUCCAGCUCGCGCAGAGCCGGCUCCACACACCUCCCACUCACUCUCGCGAGAGCAGACUCACCUCUCGCGAGAGCAACUCCGUGGUCCACCCCGCGCAAAAGUAGGUGGGUUUUUAGAAGGAAAAGAAGGGACCGGAAAAAACCUUCCCACGUGCUCCGAGACAGCUAACGUCAUGGGCCCGCAGGUCACGUGACACUGAGGGCACCUCUCCAUUGGUCAGAACCAGCUCAGCGGUGGGAGCUUAAAACUCGAGGCUGACUUGCGAACCUGUGGCGGACGUCUUGCGCGUUUCCUGGCACUACUCCAGGCUGUCAAUUGAGCAGUGAUGAAGACAAAUACUGAAGUUUAGAUUCUAGAGAACUAGGGGCGGGGAUUAUCUGUCGCUGUUAAGCCAUAUGAAAAUAAGUUACAGAGAGGAAGACAAAUGUCCUGUGUCCAUGCUCGUCACAGAAGAGAGAACAGUGGCAUACAAAGAAGGGACAUCUUGGAAAGACUUGUCCCCUUCCUCACAAUGGAAUUUAUUAAAUCAGCCACCUUCUGAAGGAAAGACUAGGAUUCCUCCAUCAAUCUUCAUGAACACCAAAAUAACUCACCAUCUUUGCUUUGUUAGUUCACUGGCCUACAUCACUUCAUAGUUUAGUCUCCCUCAACCACAGGAUGUGGCCACCAAAAAUUAGUAAAUAAACUUUACUCUACAUGAAUGCUAGCGUGCUUAAAACAAAAGAUGUACUGGUCCUACUCUUCCCUGAGCGAGGAAGUCCAUACCUGCAUUUACCAACAGAGCUAUGACCAGACAUAAGGUAACAAAGAAAUGUAUCUUAUGAGAAAUUUAACCUUUUGGAAUAUUUAAUCUAUGAAUGGAAGAUUCAGAGGGAUACCAUAAACUGAAGUUGGAAAGCUAUCGUACAAGCAAUGUCUUAGAUUUCCUCUGUUCUUCCAGGGGGACAAGACAGAUUUCAGAUCACAUAAAAAGAAAAAAAUAAUAAUUAGAGCUGUGCUAAAAUGAAAUGGAUAUCUUUAUAAACAAUGAGUCUCCAAUUAUUUCUUUGCAUCUAUACAGUUUAUUAUAAAAAUACAUUUUGUAGCAUCCAAAUUUUUAACAUCUUAAUCUCUUAUGUGAUGAUAUUCUGCUGUUAUCUCUAAACAUUUAAAAUUCUUCCUUUUUAAAGUGUGUCCUUAUUUCACAUUUGAUUGUACAGGUUGCUAUCAUUAUCAGUUGGUGUAAUAAGAUUCCUAUAAAGAUCUUGUUAUCUUCGAGGAGUAACCCAGUAGGGAAUAAUGGGUGUAAUAAGAUUUCUGCACAGCUCUUGCUUAAUAGUAAGAUGGUCUAUAAUUUUCUCUCUUUUUAGAUGGUCAGUAGCUACUCUGAAAUAUAAACUCUGCCAUAUAAACUCCUUAUAAAAGUAAGAUCCACAUUAAAAUAAAAUAUCACAGUAAUUAUUCUGUAUGGUUUGAGCAAAUGACAUCUUUUAUGGGAAAGAGAAGUUACUAAACAAUAUUUACAAGUUGCUACCUGGGCUUCACUAUCAAACUCUGUGCCCUUCAAACUUUAAUAUUAGCUUGGCUGUUUUUAUUUUUUCUGGUACCGAAAUUGAACCCGGUACCUUUUCACACUAAGCUACAUCCUCAGCUAUUUAGUUAGUUAGAGAUGGUGUCUUGCUAAGUCGUCCAGGCAGGACUCAAACUUGUGACCCUCCUGCUUCUUUCUCCUAAAGUUCUGGGAUUACAGGUAUGUACCACCGUACCUGGUUCUAGAUACAUUUUUAAAAGUUACUUUUUACAAAUUGCUCAGAGACAAGUCUUGCUCACUUUACUCUCUGUGUGGUUGUAAGAAUUCUCAACUAAAUUCCAAGAGGAAUAAAGUCCUUAGCUAAAGUC